CCCUCCUUCACACUGCUGGCCAGGUGGACAACAUCCCGCGGGAGGCUGUGUCGGAGUGAUGGUCCUGGAGUCUCUGAGAAAUCAACACUUGGUGUGUUUGGAACGGUGGCCGGGAUUUCCCAAGCCAGGCUUUCACCUCCUGUGGCCAUGUCUAUAAAUUGCUGGGUGGUCCUAAAAGUAGCCCAGGAAUGUUGCCCACAGGCCACUGCAGCCCUGCCCAGUCCCAUGACAAGUCCACAUGGGCCGUGUUCCCUUUCCUUCCCUGCCCCAGCUGCACUCGAGGCCUCAGGCUGGCCAGUGGCCAGCUCUGUGGAUAGUGUCCAUGGAUGUCUCCCAAAGCCCCGUCCCUCCCCUGUAGCCUCUGGAUGCUGUGGGCACCCAUCCGAGAACUCCAAAACCUCAGGGCACUUCUCUGCCUGAGCAGGCGCCAGCCCUGGUGAAUGAGCUGUUGAGGGUGCUGACACCCAGACCCUGCAGAAGCCCCGGAGAAGAGGAACUGAACGCCCACCUUCCAAGCCCGAGGCUGCGGGUCAGAGUGCGCCUGCCCAGCCUGCCCAGCAGCCCCGUCAGAGGCACUAAAGGCUCACGAGAGGCCUGCUCGGCGCCUUCAGAAAGGGCUCCGUCUGUCUGUGUGUAUGCAGGUCCAUCUAUCUGGCUCUUACCCACAGCACUGACCUGUGCUGGGCACUGUCCUGAGAGCCACCGUAUUCUCCCCCUGUGGAGAAGGCACUGUCUUUGAGCCCACUGACCACUCCUGAGCAAAACUUUCAGGGAUCACUUCAGCCCCGACUGGGCCAGGCUUGUGGGGUCAGCUCAUGGCUCGGUGGGAGUCUUUGCUGAGUGAGGACAGUGAUCAGGUCUUCCGUCGUGGUGUCCAUUGUGAAGGACCAUAAACACUCGGGACUUAACUAACAAUGAAGGUGUGGCCCACUACGCGCCAGGCUUGCUUCCUUAAAUUGAGCUAAAACUCGCCAUUUUCACCUGUGGGGUCCUAUGGUGGUGAGCAGCCACGCUGUGGUGCAGCUCUGCCUGUCUACCCAGGACUCUCAUCACCCCGGGAGGAAACCCUGCACCCCUUUCUGCCUGGCUUUGCGUCUGUCCUGGGCACGUCUUGUCUCUGGGUGGCAGUCCCUCUGCUCUUUUGUGGCUGGCUUCUUGCACUUGAAACACACUGAAUUUGGGGACCCCUCUAAAGUUGAGAGUGACUUCCUCAGGCUGAGAGUGGAAGCUGGGGUGCCCACGGCCUGACCGAGACGGGCUAAGAGAGGAGAAGACCAUUGGCCAGGUCCAUGCUCCACCUGCGUGUGCCCCGGGACCUGGGAGGGGGCAGGCUGGCUGCCUCUCCGCAGCUGGACCAAACUGCGUGAAGGUCACUUACUUCCCACCAGUGUCUAUUUCUCACGUGGGCAGAGGCUGCAUCCAGCCAGCUGGGUCCAGGCAAGUCCUGGGCCAGGCUGCCACCCACACACUGAGCAGUGUUUCUGGGCUCAUCCUGUGGAGCUGGCUGUUCACAGAGUCCCUUCAGUACAGUGGCCCCGGGGUGAAUGACCACUGCCCUCAGGUGGGGCUUUGGGCACCUUGGGCUGGGGAGGGGCCCUGCUCUGCCCCAUUCCUUGGCCUUUUCCCCAGGGUCCUGGCCCGACACUUCUGAGUGCCAGAUGUCCCAGCACAUGGCCAUGCCUGCUGACCCUCAUCUGCCCGUGCCUGGGGUCGUGGUCACACUCAAGACAGUGGGGUUUGCUGCCUUUCUGUGGCACUUCCUUGAGUUUCAUUCCAGUUCCGCCCUCUGCCAUCCCCCGCCAUCCCCCGCCAUCUCCGGCCAUCUCCGGCCAUCUCCCGCUUCCUGGGGCCCUCAGAGUUCCCACUCCCAGUGGGAGCCCUCUUGCUCCUGCCCGACUGGCCCCAGAGGCUCACCCACAGGGCUGGGCAGGAAAGGACUGCCUCAGUAGUGGGUCCCAGCUGAUGCCCCUGGGGCUGGUCCCUGGAGGCAGCAGGACCGCCUGGGCCCCAGGGGAGUUGAUGCCAGGGCCAGCCUGGCUCAGUUGUGGCUGGCCCCUGAGCCCAGCCUUCUCUACUGGCCAGGGAGAGCAGGACAGGGAGACCCAGCGGCACGUGCAGCGAUGACCUGGACCACUCCCUCCUGGCCCCACAUAGCUCUGCAGCUGAACCGGCCGUGGGCGUUGAAAUGAGAGUUAAAGCAGGCACUAGACGUUGGAUAAUUUCUUUCAGAUUUUUUUCUGGAUUUCUCUUAAUUAAUAGUAAGGCAAACUGUGUAGAAGUGUCCACCAUCAUACUUGCUACUGUCUGAAAGAACUUUGAAGCACAGCAAGCGAUUCCUUGGAGAGUGCGUUCUUGGGGUAGGGUUUCUGAUGCUGCUUCUGUUCAAGUAGCCCCUGUGUCGCUCGCUGGCCACGGGGCAGCUGGGGAAAGAAGCAAAACCACAGGCCACGCUAGCUCUGGGUCUGACGGCCUCAGCUGAGGGACAUUGUGCUGCUGCUAGUGUGACCUGAGUCAGCUCAGGAUGCCUCGCCCCGAAUGGACCCGUGGACGCCUGCCAGCCAGAAGGCUUGUGUCCAGUGGAAAUCGCCCUCGAUGCCCUUCUGCUGCAGAGAUGUGGCCCUGCCUAGCUGCUUAAGACAGCCAGCAGGGUCACCUCACACCUAAGCUGGGUGCUUUGACACAGGGCACCUGUGGGGUUGCAGGUGAUGCUGGCCGGGAAUGGUCUCUGAGGCUCGGUGGGGCUGGAGGUCACUCCCAGAAGGCUCCCUCUGGCAGUGGUGGUCGUCCAGCAUCACGUGGCCUCUCCGGCAGGAGAGCUCUUUCACGCAGCAGCUGGCGCCGAAAGAAGGCGGGCAGAAGUCCUCACGGGUGUCCUUUCCCUCCGAAGCCCCUCACUGACCCUCGAGAAGGAAAUGCUGGCCUCCUCCCUGGGACACCGAGGCCGAGGAAGGGGUAAGAGAACCGGUCUCCUCCCUUGGCCCAGAGCACAGGAUGCAGAGGUGUGUCAGUGUGCUGUGUGCACACCCAGAGUCGUCCUAAGAGACAUGUGUUGGUGGACUGAUGGGCAGGUGGGCUGUAGAGGAG
rnacentral:lncRNA from 1 species